ensembl:misc_RNA 7SK 7SK RNA
GGAUGUGAGGGAGAUCUGGCUGUGACAUUUGUCACCUCAAUGAUUGCCAGGGUUGAUUUUGCUGACCUGGAUGGCUAGGUGGGUGUCCCCUUUCUCUUUCUCCCCUCUAUAUGUAUUCUAAAUGGUGUGCUUGAUCAAAGAGGAUGACCACCCCCAAUAGAGGAGGACCAAUUCUUCAGUCAAGGGUGUAUGAGUAGCUGCCCUCCCCUGAUAAAACCUCCAAACAAGCUAUCAAGAAAGCAAUCUUUCAACAUCUUGGUUUUGGACGUCUAAUAUCCAAAACUGAGAAAAUAUAUCUGAGCUAUUAAAACUAUUCUC